rnacentral:rRNA from 1 species
UUGUCUGCUUGUGGUGUCCCUCAGUUUUCGUGUUUAUUUUAUUUUGUUUUAUUUAUUGGAAAAGUUAGUUUUUCCAUUUUGCUUUAGAAGAUGAGUCGAAGCAAAGGUGCGCGUCCUUUGGGAUCUUUAGGGGAGUGGGCUAAGGAGAGCGGUCCUAGGGGGUUGGGAAGGAGCGGGGGCCUCCAGGCUCGGCAUCAAGGGCUGGGGGGGUCAGCGGGUUAAAGCGGCGGCGGGCUAGGGGCCUCAGGGCGCGGGAAGAAGAUAGGUAAACCCGCCCGGCGGCCUUUCGCUGAGCCCUACCACAAGAUGAAGUUCCGCGCCGGGCUGCGGCCACUGAUGUGGUAGAAGUACCCCGAGCUGUUCGUACUCUUGCUCCUGGAGUAGUUCAUGCCGAAGGGGCUCCUGUAGACCAAGGUACAUCUAUUCUACAGGAGACGAGUACAUAUACACUCUGACUUAUUUCCAGUUUGUUACCUACUGUAUUCGCUUCCAAACGACCUUCUAACACGGGUCGAACAAUUUCGCUUGAGGUAAGUUCCAUUAUUCCACUUAUUGCAACUACACCAAAUGUGUGGUACCAUGUUAGACUUCUUCUGUGGUAGGUACCUACACCCAGUUCAACCGAAAGUGUUGAGAUUUAACCAAGCUUGACAAGUUCAUCUUUUCGCUUAGUUACUCCAACAGUUAGCCAACUUGUUCUGUUUCCACCUCUCCUGCGGACUGAAUUUCCGACUUUCUCUUCGACACUCACGACGGCUUUUCCGACUCUCUUUCAACGUCGAAUCUCUGUUUUUUGCAUUUCUUCUCUACCUCUCCGAGCUCUUCCUCUUCGUCCGACUUUAUUCCUCAAUGUUCCCGGACUACCAGGUUCUGUUCUACUGAAGCUUGUUCGUCCAACGUAGACCAUCGUUCUGGGACGUCCUUGAUCUCCUCCUAAAGUACACUCCGUUGUCACACUGCUUAAGCUAGUAUGACGUUUUCGAGAGAUUCUUGACUAAGACAGCUUCUGUCCUGUCCGUAGCGGGUCGAGAGUUCUGAGAACUGGACUACUAAGGUCCGCCUUGGAACUGGACAAUGACAAUACGAAGCAUAAAAUUACCGUAGACAUCUGGACAAACUACACAACUCUGUUGUCGAUACACACUAGAUCGGCACCCAGGCUAUGUACCCAGCCAAUUAGCACUUGGGCUGUACCAUUAUUUUGAAUAAAAGUUACCAAAGAGACGUUGUAACCGAACUUAUAAAAGUAAGAAAUUGACCUCGUG